GAAAGACUGGGACCCAUGGGAUGGCCUGUCACACAACUCCAGCUAAAAUGUGCUUGUCGUCUUGUUCACUUCUACAAAUCAAAUCCUGGGUACAGCUGACGCAGUGGAAGACAGAGAUAGAAGCUAAAAUGUUGCCUUUGUGGCCAGCCAGCAUCCUGUCAACCUGUGGCGGCUCCUGAGCUCACACCAGGAAAUUGCCUGUCAGCUCAGCAGAAGGAUUCGACCCCUCUCCUUUCUUCCAUA